UGCAUAUCCAAAAGCGGAGGAAAAGAAACCAACAGGGAUUGCCCUAGUAACGGCGAGUGAAGCGGCAACAGCUCAAAUUUGAAAGCUAGCCUUCGGGUUCGCAUUGUAAUUUGUAGAGGAUGAUUUGGGGAAGCCGCCUGUCUAAGUUCCUUGGAACAGGACGUCAUAGAGGGUGAGAAUCCCGUAUGUGACAGGAAAUGGCACCCUAUGUAAAUCUCCUUCGACGAGUCGAGUUGUUUGGGAAUGCAGCUCUAAAUGGGAGGUAAAUUUCUUCUAAAGCUAAAUAUUGGCGAGAGACCGAUAGCGCACAAGUAGAGUGAUCGAAAGAUGAAAAGCACUUUGGAAAGAGAGUUAAAAAGCACGUGAAAUUGUUGAAAGGGAAGCGCUUGCAAUCAGACUUGUUUAAACUGUUCGGCCGGUCUUCUGACCGGUUUACUCAGUUUGGACAGGCCAGCAUCAGUUUCGGCGGCCGGAUAAAGGCUCUGGGAAUGUGGCCUCCACUUCGGUGGAGGUGUUAUAGCCCAGGGUGUAAUACGGCCAGCCGGGACUGAGGUCCGCGCUUCGGCUAGGAUGCUGGCGUAAUGGUUGUAAGCGACCCGUCUUGA
rnacentral:rRNA from 1 species